ACUGUUCUGUGUUCAAUUAAAGGAAAAAUUUUUGUAAGACAUGAAAAGCUGUAAAACCGGUUAAAGUAGAAAUGAUUUUUUAUAUAGAAGUAAAAAAACACACAAACAAAAGAGAAGGAAAAAUUCUCAAAUCAAACUCAAUCAUAAUCAAAAUGUUAUAAAUAAAAAAACAAAAAAUAACGAAAAUUUAAAAAAUUGGGGAAAAAAAAACUUCAAAAAUUACUUUUGUGCUUUCUCACUACUCGUAAUCUUAAGUAAAUGCUUAAUAAAACGUAAAAUUUAAUCCCUCAUCAUAGCAGUAGAGGCGAAAGUGCCAUUUUACAGAAUCACGGAAGUCCGAAUACAAUUUGCAAAACUGAACACAAUUGUUCGAAGUGAAUAUUAAAAGAAAUGUUCGUUUGAUUGAUUGCAGAGAUUGAAACAAAAAUUGCAAAUUAAUCGAUAAAAAUAUCAAUUAAAGGAAUGCAUAUAUUAGACAGUGAACGAAUGCAUGAACGAUUGAGUAAAUAAAUGACUGAAUGAAUGAAUGCUUGCAUGAAGGAAUAUAAAAAAUAAAAUG